rnacentral:rRNA from 1 species
AGCUCCAAUAGCGUAUAUUAAAGUUGUUGUGGUUAAAAAGCUCGUAGUUGGAUCUCGGCGGUCUGGGAUCGGUUCGCUCUCUUGAGUGCUACUGCUCCAUCUUCCGUCUUUUUGCCUGAUUUCUCUGUGUGCUCUUAACCUGGUGUCCCGCGAUGCUGGCAGGUUUACUUUGAAAAAAUUAGAGUGCUCAAAGCAGGCUUUUACGCCUGAAUAUUCGUGCAUGGAAUAAUAGAAUAGGAAGUCGUUUAUAUUUUGUUGGUUUUCGGAAAUCGACGUAAUGAUUAAUAGGGACAGUCGGGGGCAUUUGUAUUCAAACGACAGAGGUGAAAUUCUUGGAAGGUUUGAAGACAAACUACUGCGAAAGCAUUUGCCAAGAAUGUUUUCA